CAGCACCUCAAGUGGUCAGGAUGAUUAUUGGGCCUAAAGCAUCCGUAGCCGGCGCUGUAAGUUUUCGGUUAAAUCUGUACGCUCAACGUACAGGCUGCCGGGAAUACUGCAGCGCUAGGGAGUGGGAGAGGUAGACGGUACUCGGUAGGAAGGGGUAAAAUCCUUUGAUCUAUUGAUGACCACCUGUGGCGAAGGCGGUCUACCAGAACACGUCCGACGGUGAGGGAUGGAAGCUGGGGGAGCAAACCGGAUUAGAGACCCGAGUAGUCC
rnacentral:rRNA from 1 species